GUGAAAUUCCGUCGGAAUCUGGGAGGACCAUCUCCUAAGGCUAAAUACUCUCUAGUGACCGAUAGUGAACCAGUACCGUGAGGGAAAGGUGAAAAGCACCCCGGAAGGGGAGUGAAAUAGAACCUGAAACCGUGUGCUUACAAGUAGUCAGAGCCCGUUAAUGGGUGAUGGCGUGCCUUUUGUAGAAUGAACCGGCGAGUUACGAUUUGAUGCAAGGUUAAGCAGUAAAUGUGGAGCCGUAGCGAAAGCGAGUCUGAAUAGGGCGUUUAGUAUUUGGUCGUAGACCCGAAACCAGGUGAUCUACCCUUGGUCAGGUUGAAGUUCAGGUAACACUGAAUGGAGGACCGAACCGACUUACGUUGAAAAGUGAGCGGAUGAACUGAGGGUAGCGGAGAAAUUCCAAUCGAACCUGGAGAUAGCUGGUUCUCUCCGAAAUAGCUUUAGGGCUAGCCUCAAGUGAUGAUUAUUGGAGGUAGAGCACUGUUUGGACGAGGGGCCCCUCUCAGGUUACCGAAUUCAGACAAACUCCGAAUGCCAAUUAAUUUAACUUGGGAGUCAGAACAUGGGUGAUAAGGUCCAUGUUCGAAAGGGAAACAGCCCAGACCACCAGCUAAGGUCCCAA
rnacentral:rRNA from 1 species